GUGCCAGCAACCCCGGGAAUCCGGAGGGGCCAGCCGUUAUCCGAAAUUCCGGGGCGUAAAGCGCACGCAGGCGGUUUGUUAAGUCAGAUGUGAAAUCCCCGGGCUCAACCUGGGAACUGCAUUUGAAACUGGCAAGCUAGAGUCUCGUAGAGGGGGGUAGAAUUCCAGGUGUAGCGGUGGAAUGCGUAGAGAUCUGGAGGAAUACCGGUGGCGAAGGCGCCCCCCUGGACGAAGACUGACGCUCAGGUGCGAAAGCGUGGGGAGCAAACAGGAUUAGAUACCCUGGUAGUCC
rnacentral:rRNA from 1 species